UUUAAAAAAUUUGUCUUUCCUUGAUUAUGCUUUUGUGUGUGGCAGAUCAGCUUAGCAAUAGAUGUCUAACUGAAUUAUCCAGCUGAAAGGGUUGUAAUAGAGGCACAGUGCAUUUAAAUCUACAGCCAAAGGAAACAAAAGAGAUCAGUCUCUCGUGUAACUGAGGCACAUCCUGCCCAGACAGCCAGACUUCUUGAAACCUAUAACAGUCUUACAGACAAACACCUGGUUGGAUAUUUCAGCAAUGCCAGGAUAAGACGACACCUUCAGAAAUCAGGACUGAAACAUUCUGUUUGUGCAUGGCAGAUCUCAAGGAGUGGCAGAAUCAUACCUGAGAGGGAAUACCGCCUCAAUGCCAUGAGGAGGGAGCGGCAGAGACACGCCCAGCAGUGCUUGGCCGAUGCCAUUUUCCGAAAAGUCCUCGACAUGGAGGUACGGCCUGCUGGGCUGCUGGCAGCCUCUCAGCUGCUCCAGCCAGCAGCUGGGCUCUUUC
rnacentral:lncRNA from 12 species